GGCAUGGUGGUGCAGUGGGUAGCACUGUGGCCUUUCAAGGAGAAGGAUGUUGGUUCAAGACUCGCCGGUGACG